rnacentral:rRNA from 1 species
GACGAACGCUGGCGGCGUGCCUAAUACAUGCAAGUCGAACGAGAGCAACCGGUGCUUGCACUGGUCAAUCUAGUGGCGAACGGGUGAGUAACACGUGGGUAACCUGCCCAUCAGAGGGGGAUAACAUCCGGAAACGGAUGCUAAAACCGCAUAGGUCUUCGAACCGCAUGGUUUGAAGAGGAAAAGAGGCGCAAGCUUCUGCUGAUGGAUGGACCCGCGGUGCAUUAGCUAGUUGGUGAGGUAACGGCUCACCAAGGCCGGGAUGCAUAGCCGACCUGAGAGGGUGAUCGGCCACAUUGGGACUGAGACACGGCCCAAACUCCUACGGGAGGCAGCAGUAGGGAAUCUUCCGCAAUGGACGCAAGUCUGACGGAGCAACGCCGCGUGAGUGAAGAAGGUUUUCGGAUCGUAAAACUCUGUUGUUAGGGAAGAACAAGUGCUAGAGUAACUGUUAGCGCCUUGACGGUAUCUAACCAGAAAGCCACGGCUAACUACGUG